UACGUAGGGUGCGAGCGUUGUUCGGAAUUACUGGGCGUAAAGCGCGUGUAGGCGGCCCUGCAAGUCGGGUGUGAAAUCCCCCGGCUUAACCUGGGAACUGCGUCUGAUACUGGAAGGCUUGAGUAUGGGAGAGGGAUGUAGAAUUCCAGGUGUAGCGGUGAAAUGCGUAGAUAUCUGGAGGAAUACCGGUGGCGAAGGCGGCAUCCUGGACCAUUACUGACGCUGAGGCGCGAAAGCUAGGGGAGCAAACGGG
rnacentral:rRNA from 1 species